CGGGUGGUAAUGCCGGAUGCUCCGACUCCUCGCAUGGGGUGUCGGGAAAGAUUUCAUCGGUAUGGGAUGGGGUCGCGUCCUAUCAGGUAGUCGGCGGGGUAACGGCCCACCGAGCCUACGACGGGUAGCCGGCCUGAGAGGGCGACCGGCCACAUUGGGACUGAGAUACGGCCCAGACUCCUACGGGAGGCAGCAGUGGGGAAUAUUGCACAAUGGGCGCAAGCCUGAUGCAGCGACGCCGCGUGCGGGAUGACGGCCUUCGGGUUGUAAACCGCUUUUGAUCGGGAGCAAGCCUUCGGGUGAGUGUACCUUUCGAAUAAGCACCGGCUAACUACGUGCCAGCAGCCGCGGUAAUACGUAGGGUGCAAGCGUUAUCCGGAAUUAUUGGGCGUAAAGGGCUCGUAGGCGGUUCGUCGCGUCCGGUGUGAAAGUCCAUCGCUUAACGGUGGAUCUGCGCCGGGUACGGGCGGGCUGGAGUGCGGUAGGGGAGACUGGAAUUCCCGGUGUAACGGUGGAAUGUGUAGAUAUCGGAAAAAAACA
rnacentral:rRNA from 1 species